UACGGGGGGUGCGAGCGUUGUCCGGAAUCACUGGGCGUAAAGGGCGCGUAGGUGGUUUGAUAAGGGUGUGGUGAAAGUCCGGGGCUCAACCCCGGAUCUGCCGUGCCGACUGUCAAACUCGAGGACUGUAGAGGCAGACGGAAUUCCGGGUGUAGCGGUGGAAUGCGUAGAGAUCCGGAGGAAGACCGGUGGCGAAGGCGGCUCUCUGGACACUUACUGACGCUGAGACGCGAAAGCGUGGGGAGCAAACAGG
rnacentral:rRNA from 1 species